AGCUUCCUACUGCUUACCAUAGGCUGUGUUCUUAUACUGACUGUAUAGAAAGAGGAGGCAAAGUAAACCUACCAAUGUACAACUCAGCCUAGGCCACCGUGCCUGGUCUGAUUGUGAAUGGGGAGACAUAG
ensembl:snoRNA